rnacentral:rRNA from 1 species
GAUGAACGCUGGCGGCGUGCCUAAUACAUGCAAGUCGAGCGAACAGACGAGGAGCUUGCUCCUCUGACGUUAGCGGCGGACGGGUGAGUAACACGUGGAUAACCUACCUAUAAGACUGGGAUAACUUCGGGAAACCGGAGCUAAUACCGGAUAAUAUAUUGAACCGCAUGGUUCAAUAGUGAAAGACGGUUUUGCUGUCACUUAUAGAUGGAUCCGCGCCGCAUUAGCUAGUUGGUAAGGUAACGGCUUACCAAGGCAACGAUGCGUAGCCGACCUGAGAGGGGGAUCGGCCACACUGGAACUGAGACACGGUCCAGACUCCUACGGGAGGCAGCAGUAGGGAAUCUUCCGCAAGGGGCGAAAGCCUGACGGAGCAACGCCGCGUGAGUGAUGAAGGUCUGCGGAUCGUAAAACUCUGUUAUUAGGGAAGAACAAAUGUGUAAGUAACGAUGCACGUCUUGACGGUACCUAAUCAGAAAGCCACGGCUAACUACGU